rnacentral:rRNA from 1 species
UAGGGAAUCUUCGGCAAUGGGGGGAACCCUGACCGAGCAACGCCGCGUGAGUGAAGAAGGUUUUCGGAUCGUAAAGCUCUGUUGUUAAGGAAGAACGAGUGUGAGAAUGGAAAGUUCAUACUGUGACGGUACUUAACCAGAAAGGGACGGCUAACUACGUGCCAGCAGCCGCGGUAAUACGUAGGUCCCGAGCGUUGUCCGGAUUUAUUGGGCGUAAAGCGAGCGCAGGCGGUUAGAUAAGUCUGAAGUUAAAGGCAGUGGCUCAACCAUUGUAGGCUUUGGAAACGGUUGAACUUGAGUGCAGAAGGGGAGAGUGGAAUUCCAUGUGUAGCGGUGAAAUGCGUAGAUAUAUGGAGGAACACCUGUGGCGAAAGCGGCUCUCGGGUCUGUAACUGACGCGGAGGCUCGAAAGCGUGGGGAGCGAACAGG